rnacentral:rRNA from 1 species
GACGAACGCUGGCGGCGUGCUUAACACAUGCAAGUCGAACGGUAAGGCCCCAGCUUGCUGGGGUACACGAGUGGCGAACGGGUGAGUAACACGUGGGUGACCUGCCCCGCACUUCGGGAUAAGCCUGGGAAACUGGGUCUAGUACCGGAUAGGACCGCACCGUGAGGGUGUGGUGGAAAGUUUUUCGGUGUGGGAUGGGCCCGCGGCCUAUCAGCUUGUUGGUGGGGUAAUGGCCUACCAAGGCGGCGACGGGUAGCCGGCCUGAGAGGGUGGACGGCCACAUUGGGACUGAGACACGGCCCAGACUCCUACGGGAGGCAGCAGUGGGGAAUAUUGCACAAUGGGCGGAAGCCUGAUGCAGCGACGCCGCGUGGGGGAUGACGGCCUUCGGGUUGUAAACUCCUUUCACCAUCGACGAAGGUUUUCUGACGGUAGAUGGAGAAGAAGCACCGGCUAACUACGUG